rnacentral:lncRNA from 1 species
CAGGCAAAAAUCCUUCUGUUUUUAUAAUGCUCCAAGCACGUUAUACAUGUCAAUGUUAGUGCCGUGUGCCCUACAUAAAUAAAAACAACUUACCAAUGCUCAGCGGGGUGUUACACAUCUUACAGCUAACCUCCGUAUGCGCUGUCUGGUAUCAGUGAGUAAGCUGCUAAUUAGGGUUAGCCAGGAGUGCAGAACGGGGCCGAUUGCAGGGCAGGCACCGACCCAGCACGUGGCUGCACACUGCAAGUUGAACAGUACCCGAGCUCAAGGCUGGCUUUUAUUUUCUGCAUUGUUUCCCUCUGCAUAAACAUCAGGAACAUGCUUAGACAGUAGAAUUGAGCCCGGAUGUCUGGAGGGCAUCUGGAGGUGUUCAGGUGUGUGAUUGCUUCCUGUCUGCCCACCGCAGCGCUCUCCUGUCUGCAGUACAAACACAGCGCUGCUGGAGGUGUGGGUGCUGCGGGGCUGGGCAGGAACGUGGGUAGCAGUGAGAGGCUGCAGUGUGCAGUGUUUGGGGAGGGGGAGUUCUGAAGGAUUUUUGAUGGGUAGCUUACGUGUCUGUUAGGUGAGAGCACAGCGGUGGCAGUAGAAAAUAAGGAGCGUGGAGGCAGUGUCAGUGUGAGAUUUCAGCAACAAAUAUGUGUGUUCUUUUAGGUAGAAUGACUUAAAACGGUUUUUACUGCAUCGCAUUCAGUACAGAUCACACGAGUGAGCGGUCCUUGGGCUGCCCUUACCCACCUGGAGAAACAGCUGCCCCAGGAAGGGGCUCUGUGCCUACCCUGGCAGCAGUCUCCCACUCAUUUCCCUAGAUAAAUGUGAGUGUUCUGUGCAGACUCCAGCAGGAUGCUGUCCCACGUGUGAGGCCAGCUUUGGCGGGUUGUAACCCUGUGAGUCUUGCUUGUUAUUUAAGGGUGUGGGGGCUGCUGGCUCUUGGGCAGUGAGUUUGUGUUUGUGUGCAUUGGGAUGGGGGCGGAGAUGUUCCCUGUCACACCAUCAGAACCAGAGCUCUGGUGGCUGAGGGAAAAGCAAUGAAAUCCCAUUCUAGGAUUUCAGAGAGAAGGUCCAAGGGUGCAUAGGUGGCCAAAGCGUUUGGAGAGACACACAUGGGCACGUGUGUGCUUAACAAGAUUUGGUACCAAAAAAAAAGAAAAGAGGUAUUUUUGCUUUGAAAAUCCCCCUGAGGGCCCCGAUGUCUUCAUGGGGAGCUGUUUGCCCUUGGGCACAAGCCCCUCUGACACCUGGUGGGACAGCAAAAGGUAACGGAGAAGGCUUGAAAUUAAAUAAUGCCUGUGGACUUCUUAAGCGUUGCGUUGAGCUGAACAGAGCACUGUGGCUGUCCCCUGAGGAGCGCUGGGACAGCUGUAAGGGCAGCUUCUGUACAGCCUGCUCCCAUAACAUCUAAUUGCUUUCAUAUCUAUCAAACACUAAAAGCCUUUCUUCGGAGUUGUGCGUUUGUUUUUAAAUCAAAUAGAUUUAUUCUUGAUGUCUCGGGCACAUUAUUGCAGUAACCUCAUCCUUGGACCAAAACUUUGGCAGAACACACGUAUCUGUAAUGAGGACUUUGUGUUCUGUGGAGGCUUUAUUACAAAAGAGGAUGAACAAGUAUAUUAGAAAGAAAGGGGAGAAACAGGGAAGACUACUUUUUUUGGCAAAGCUUUGUGCUACAGCUCUCGUUUCUCUGGUUGCAGCUGCCUUCAGGCGCACAUCUCAGUCCCUUGUUAUGUUGUGCUCAACUGUUGAUGCUUCCCAGGUUUGCUCUUUGGUGAAACAGGCACGUGUGCAGGUUCCCCAUAAAAAUGGCCGGUUUGGGUUUUACCAGGAACUCUGGCACUUCUCCAUUAUAAGAAGGGAUUACAUUUUUAGGGAGAAUUAACAAGGCAGGAGUAGUGAAGCACUUGAAAUGUCCAGUUUAAUUCUCUCUCUUCCUGCAAACAAGCUCACACGAGCAGGUUUUUCAGAAGUCCUGAAAUGAAAGCUUCCUGGAAGAAAUACAUUUCCCUGUGGGACCACACAGCUCUCAGUCCUGCCUCCGUGUGAAGAUGAUGUUCCUGGGUGUCAAGCCACGGCCCUGCUCUGGUGGCAUGUGAGGUGUGAGCCUCCAACUGCCUCUGGCUGUACUGCAGGUCGCUGCCUGUCGGUCCGCCUUGGUGAAGAAACAGACUUGGGGUGGAGCAGGGAUGCAGCUGGGGUGCAAGGCAAGGGCUGUGCUGUGGCCGAGUGUCUUCGUUCAAGACCCUCUCCACCAAUAAGACCAUCCCUUUGGUUCUAAUGAAAUCCUGGGACCCACCACUGAGCCCCUUGAUAGGAAUCCUUCCC